AAGAGCUUGCUCUUAUGAAGUUAGCGGCGGACGGGUGAGUAACACGUGGGUAACCUGCCCAUAAGACUGGGAUAACUCCGGGAAACCGGGGCUAAUACCGGAUAACAUUUUGAACCGCAUGGUUCGAAAUUGAAAGGCGGCUUCGGCUGUCACUUAUGGAUGGACCCGCGUCGCAUUAGCUAGUUGGUGAGGUAACGGCUCACCAAGGCAACGAUGCGUAGCCGACCUGAGAGGGUGAUCGGCCACACUGGGACUGAGACACGGCCCAGACUCCUACGGGAGGCAGCAGUAGGGAAUCUUCCGCAAUGGACGAAAGUCUGACGGAGCAACGCCGCGUGAGUGAUGAAGGCUUUCGGGUCGUAAAACUCUGUUGUUAGGGAAGAACAAGUGCUAGUUGAAUAAGCUGGCACCUUGACGGUACCUAACCAGAAAGCCACGGCUAACUACGUGCCAGCAGCCGCGGUAAUACGUAGGUGGCAAGCGUUAUCCGGAAUUAUUGGGCGUAAAGCGCGCGCAGGUGGUUUCUUAAGUCUGAUGUGAAAGCCCACGGCUCAACCGUGGAGGGUCAUUGGAAACUGGGAGACUUGAGUGCAGAAGAGGAAAGUGGAAUUCCAUGUGUAGCGGUGAAAUGCGUAGAGAUAUGGAGGAACACCAGUGGCGAAGGCGACUUUCUGGUCUGUAACUGACACUGAGGCGCGAAAGCGUGGGGAGCAAACAGGAUUAGAU
rnacentral:rRNA from 1 species